GAUCAUGGCUCAGAACGAACGCUGGCGGCGCGUCUUAAGCAUGCAAGUCGAACGGCAAGAGGUAGCAAUACCUCCUAGAGUGGCGGACUGGUGAGUAACACGUGGGUGACAUACCCUUCAGAUGGGGAUAGCUAUUAGAAAUAGUAGAUAAUACCGAAUACGAGCACAGGGGUUAGAGAUCUGUGAGGAAAGGAGCUAAGGCUCCGCUGAAGGAAUGGCCUGCGGCCCAUUAGCUAGUUGGUGAGGUAAGAGCCCACCAAGGCGAUGAUGGGUAUCCGGCCUUAGAGGGUGAACGGACACAUUGGGACUGAGAUACGGCCCAGACUCCUACGGGAGGCAGCAGCUAAGAAUAUUCCGCAAUGGACGAAAGUCUGACGGAGCGACGCCGCCGUGGAUGAAGAAGGCCGGAAGGUUGUAAAAUCCUUUUGAAACUGAAGAAUAAGCGUUGUAGGGAAUGACAGCGUGGUGACAGUAGGUUUUGAAUAAGCAACGGCUAAUUACGUGCCAGCCGCCGC
rnacentral:rRNA from 1 species